rnacentral:rRNA from 1 species
CUUGGUCAUUUAGAGGAAGUAAAAGUCGUAACAAGGUUUCCGUAGGUGAACCUGCGGAAGGAUCAUUAUCGAAAUUAUUGGUGAGGGUUGUAGCUGGCCUUUCGAGGCAUGUGCACGCUCGAGCCCUUAAUCCACUUUACACCUGUGCACUUAAUGUAGGUCGCCCUUAAAAAAGGUGACCUAUGUCUUAUCAUCAACCCAUCGUAUGUCUCAUAGAAUGUAAUCGAUAUCCUCGCCCUAAAAAAGCGUUGAUAAACUUAUACAACUUUCAACAACGGAUCUCUUGGCUCUCGCAUCGAUGAAGAACGCAGCGAAAUGCGAUAAGUAAUGUGAAUUGCAGAUUUUCAGUGAAUCAUCGAAUCUUUGAACGCACCUUGCGCUCCUUGGUAUUCCGAGGAGCAUGCCUGUUUGAGUGUCAUUAAAUUCUCAACUCCAAGGGUUUCACGACCUUUCGGAGAUUGGACUUGGAGGUGCUGGCCGCAUAUUGGUCGGCUCCUCUCAAAUGCAUCAGCGGAAUUCAACCUUUGGCUUCCGGAUGUCAGUGUGAUAAUCAUGUUGCGCUGUCGUUUGAUCCCCCAGAGUCCGCUUAUAAUGGUCUUCGGACAAAAUCAUCAUCAAAUUUGACCUCAAAUCAGGUAGGACUACCCGCUGAACUUAAGCAUAUCAAUAAGCGGAGGA